AGUUUUGUGCAGUGGCAAUAUCGUACCCAAUGAGGUUUAUCCAAGGCGUGAUUAUUGCUAAUUGAAACAUGGCAAGAAGAAAAAAAGUAUAGCGUUUAGGAAAAAAAAACAAAUUGGUCAUAAUUCACAUCUGAC